CUUGAUUGCCAGAGCCCCUGAAGCCAAUGAAGCUAAGCAGGGUUGAGCCUGCCCAGUACCUGGAUGGGAGACCUCCUGGUGAAAACUAAGGUUGCCGCUGGAA
rnacentral:rRNA from 1 species